AGAGUUUGAUCAUGGCUCAGAUUGAACGCUGGCGGCAUGCCUUACACAUGCAAGUCGAACGGUAACAGGUCUUCGGAUGCUGACGAGUGGCGAACGGGUGAGUAAUACAUCGGAACGUGCCCGAUCGUGGGGGAUAACGCAGCGAAAGCUGUGCUAAUACCGCAUACGAUCUACGGAUGAAAGCGGGGGAUCGCAAGACCUCGCGCGGACGGAGCGGCCGAUGGCAGAUUAGGUAGUUGGUGGGAUAAAAGCUUACCAAGCCGACGAUCUGUAGCUGGUCUGAGAGGACGACCAGCCACACUGGGACUGAGACACGGCCCAGACUCCUACGGGAGGCAGCAGUGGGGAAUUUUGGACAAUGGGGGAAACCCUGAUCCAGCCAUGCCGCGUGCAGGAUGAAGGCCUUCGGGUUGUAAACUGCUUUUGUACGGAACGAAAAGGUCUUUUCUAAUAAAGAAGGCUCAUGACGGUACCGUAAGAAUAAGCACCGGCUAACUACGUGCCAGCAGCCGCGGUAAUACGUAGGGUGCAAGCGUUAAUCGGAAUUACUGGGCGUAAAGCGUGCGCAGGCGGUUAUAUAAGACAGAUGUGAAAUCCCCGGGCUCAACCUGGGAACUGCAUUUGUGACUGUAUAGCUAGAGUACGGCAGAGGGGGAUGGA
rnacentral:rRNA from 1 species